GACGAACUGUGCAAGCGUUAAUCGGAAUUACUGGGCGUAAAGCGCGCGUAGGUGGUUCGUUAAGUUGGAUGCGAAAUCCCCGGGCUCAACCUGGGAACUGCAUUCAAAACUGACGAGCUAGAGUAUGGUAGAGGGUGGUGGAAUUUCCUGUGUAGCGGUGAAAUGCGUAGAUAUAGGAAGGAACACCAGUGGCGAAGGCGACCACCUGGACUGAUACUGACACUGAGGCGCGAAAGCGUGGGGAGCAAACAGG
rnacentral:rRNA from 1 species